rnacentral:rRNA from 2 species
GGGUCAGCGACUUAUAUUCUGUAGCAAGGUUAACCGUAUAGGGGAGCCGCAGGGAAACCGAGUCUUAACUGGGCGUUAAGUUGCAGGGUAUAGACCCGAAACCCGGUGAUCUAGCCAUGGGCAGGUUGAAGGUUGGGUAACACUAACUGGAGGACCGAACCGACUAAUGUUGAAAAAUUAGCGGAUGACUUGUGGCUGGGGGUGAAAGGCCAAUCAAACCGGGAGAUAGCUGGUUCUCCCCGAAAGCUAUUUAGGUAGCGCCUCGUGAACUCAUCUUCGGGGGUAGAGCACUGUUUCGGCUAGGGGGUCAUCCCGACUUACCAACCCGAUGCAAACUACGAAUACCGAAGAAUGUUAUCACGGGAGACACACGGCGGGUGCUAACGUCCGUCGUGAAGAGGGAAACAACCCAGACCGCCAGCUAAGGUCCCAAAGUCAUGGUUAAGUGGGAAACGAUGUGGGAAGGCACAGACAGCCAGGAUGUUGGCUUAGAAGCAGCCAUCAUUUAAAGAAAGCGUAAUAGCUCACUGGUCGAGUCGGCCUGCGCGGAAGAUGUAACGGGGCUAAACCAUGCACCGAAGCUGCGGCAGCGACACUAUGUGUUGUUGGGUAGGGGAGC